CAAAGGCAGGGAGAGAGCCCUCGCUCUCUGUGCUCUCUUGCUCUGGCUUGCUUUCACUCUGUUUCAAUUUUCUAGGCUUUUAUUGGGUCCUGGCCUCCAGACGUGUCUGGAAUGUUGCUGUGGCUUCAACAGCACUCCCACAUCCCCACGGAUGCGACCCACGAUGCACCACACACAUCCACACUCACCCAAACAUGCAUUUUGCUGUAAACCCUUCUUUCAUCGAGCAGCUGAAGAUCUGUGUCUUUAGGGAUGUCCCGGCUUGCCCCAAGUAUUUGCUUUCAGAAUUAAGAAUGUCCUGAACCUUUCCCCUUGGUAGCACCUAACAGUUGCUGUUUUACUUUUACUUAUAGUUAUUUAAUCCCUUUAUCUCUCUUACAGACUCUAAGCUCCACGGGGCUGUAUCUGCUUUCUGCUCACCAGCACCUAGCGCAGAGCUUAGCUACAACGAAUGGUGUUAAUGUUUGUUAAGUGCAUAAACAGGACUCAACAGGGAAAGGACUGGGAUUUACAUCCUCACCUUCUUGCUCCCCAGCUCCUCACACUGUAUGCAUGAAUCUCCUUUUUUCAGGCACACCUAUGCCUCGGUGGUGUUUCCCAGACAUCGAGCAUCUCUGGAUCUCAUGACACCCUGCAUCUCUCUCUCCAGUGCACCCAUGCUCAUCCUCAGUGACUCCUCUAGAAUUCUUGUGAUUUUUUAACUGGUGGGGGACAGAGAGAUCAUAGGAGCCCAUUUUUCAGAUAGAGAAAACUGAGCCUCAAGACCCGGGGGAGGAUCAAAAGGAACAAGUGGUAGUCUGGAAAAAAGUGGAACAAUGCUGUUUAACUUGCUGGCCGAAACUGGCUCAUCACAAAGGAGACAGACGAGGGAGCAGUGUGGCCACUUCUGACAUCAGUCUCAGGGAACACAGUUUCUCAACAUUCGUGGUAAAAAGUGAAGAGCAUCUCCACUCUAACGAUAAAAAUCAAAAGGCCUUUCAUGUUUUUGCACAUUCAGGUUAACAUAAUGAGAAAUGACGCUGGGAAUGACUGAUGAGCAGCUGUAAGCCCAUAUGUCUGGGGUGUUGCCUUUUUCUCUGAAUAGCAUACGUGUUUCUGCCUACCAAGAUCUCAGUGUGGCUGAGUGACUGAGCCUUCAGGCUUGGUAUUUCCCUGCCUCCUCUGUGGAUUUCCAAUUCUUUGACGUCAAGAAUUUUCUCUUUUGCACAGCUUUGCCUCUUCCAGGAGGUGAAUGGUACGGGGAUGACUCACAAAAGUCUUCAGAUAAGAGGCGGACAAAAGAGACCCUUGUUCAGUGGCAGAAGUACCUGCAAAGCCUUAGCUUUGCUUGAGAUAUGACCUAUAACUGCUCUGAUUUUUGGACCCCAGAAAACCCUUGAAAGCUCAGCUUCCUUAUUGCUGUGUGUUCACCUUAUAACAGCACCG
rnacentral:lncRNA from 1 species